rnacentral:rRNA from 1 species
CUUACCCACCUUUGACAUGUACGGAACCCUCCAGAGAUGGAGGGGUGCCCGAAAGGGAGCCGUAACACAGGUGCUGCAUGGCUGUCGUCAGCUCGUGUCGUGAGAUGUUGGGUUAAGUCCCGCAACGAGCGCAACCCUUGUCAUUAGUUGCUACAUUUAGUUGGGCACUCUAAUGAGACUGCCGGUGACAAACCGGAGGAAGGUGGGGAUGACGUCAAGUCCUCAUGGCCCUUAUAGGUGGGGCUACACACGUCAUACAAUGGCCGGUACAAAGGGCUGCCAACCCGCGAGGGGGAGCUAAUCCCAUAAAACCGGUCGUAGUCCGGAUCGUAGUCUGCAACUCGACUACGUGAAGUCGGAAUCGCUAGUAAUCGUGGAUCAGAAUGUCACGGUGAAUACGUUCCCGGGUCUUGUACACACCGCCCGUCACACCAUGGGAGCGGGUUCUGCCAGAAGUAGUUAGCCUAACCGCAAG